UACAGAGGGGGCAAGCGUUGUUCGGAAUUACUGGGCGUAAAGGGCGCGUAGGCGGCCUUCUAAGUCGAACGUGAAAUCCCCGGGCUCAACCCGGGAACUGCGUCCGAUACUGGAAGGCUUGAAUCCGGGAGAGGGAUGCGGAAUUCCAGGUGUAGCGGUGAAAUGCGCAGAUAUCGGGAGGAACACCGGUGGCGAAGGCGGUUCUCUGGGCCUGUACUGACGCUGAGGAGCGAAAGCAUGGGGGAGCGAACAGG
rnacentral:rRNA from 1 species